rnacentral:rRNA from 1 species
CACACCGCGUUGAAUACGUUCCCGGGUCUUGUACACACCGCCCGUCACGUCACGGAAGUCGUCAACACCCGAAGUGCCUAUUUAACUAGGCCCUAAGGUGGGGGUGGUAACUGGGGUG